rnacentral:lncRNA from 1 species
CAGCAGUGCUGGGGGACCCGGCGCACCCUCCGCAGCUGCUGGCCCGGGUGCUAAACCCCUCACUGCCCGGGCCGGCGGUGCCGGCGGGCUGCUCUCAGUGCGGGACCUCGGAGCCUGCGCCCACCCGGAACUAGCCGCGUUCAGCCCUGGUUCCCGCCCCCGCCUCUCCCGCCACACCUCUCCACAAGCAGAGGGAGCUGGCUUCAGCCUCAGCCAGCACAGAGAGGGGCCCCCAUAGCGCAGUGGCGGGCUGAAGGGCUCCUUGAGCAUGGCCAGAGUGGACGCCAAGGCUGAGGAGGCGCCGAGAGCCAGUGAGGGCUGCUAGCAUGUUGUCACCUCUCAAUACAUCUGGGGCCUCUUCUUCAUGAAUGGCAGAUGCAGCAGCAGUGUCACAGAUGCCUCCCAAAGGCACCCUCUCUCUGUGGAUGCUGCCAGUCUCCAAGAUUGAGGAUGGUGAUGUCAGCCCUACGGCUGCCCAAGGCCAGUGCUGUUUUUAUUGUUUCCACCACCAUCAACACAGCCAGCAGCAUGAGGGGGGCCAAUAAUGUCAACAGGUUUCAGCAUUUUCUCCAUCAUCACCCUUGGGACUUGGAUAAAACUACUGGAGGGUGGUUCCAAGAUGGCCAAAUAGGAACAGCUCCAGUCUACAGCUCCCAGCAUGAGUGAUGCAGAAGACGAAUGAUUUCUGCAUUUCCAACUCAGAGAGCUGACUUUAGAGGGAUCAAGAAUAGCUUGCUGGAUGGAAGGAGGUCAUCUUUAGGAGCUGGCAUGAAUUGCUGUGUUUCAGAACAGUCCACGCAGAGGAAUGAGGAGAAGAGGAUUCAUCCAUUAGCUUCCAUCUCCCAUUGGUGAAAGCUUGCCCUGCAACUCCUCCACACUUCUGGGUUGUAUGACCUGUCCUGCUACAGCCACUAUGGAAAUCUGAACCCAUGUUAGUAGCCACCUCCUCAGCAUGACCUGCAGCUUAUGGGGCAUGCAGUAAGUAGGAGCAAGCCAAGCGCCCUGCGGGCUAGACCUCUGGCACACUGCAGAACCAGCAUGAACCAGGGCAGGUAGUGAACACCGAGAGGGUCCCAUGGUACUGCCCACCAUAGAGACUAAAACAGAGCCUUUGGCAAGAGGCAGGAGGCUCUAGGCAUGAGGUGUUUUCGGUCAUAGCCACACAUUACCUCAGAUUCCAG